GUCGAGCGGAUUGAUGGGAGCUUGCUCCCUGAAAUCAGCGGCGGACGGGUGAGUAACACGUGGGUAACCUGCCUGUAAGACUGGGAUAACUCCGGGAAACCGGGGCUAAUACCGGAUAGUUCUUUUCCUCGCAUGAGGAAAAGUGGAAAGGCGGCUUCGGCUGCCACUUACAGAUGGACCCGCGGCGCAUUAGCUAGUUGGUGAGGUAACGGCUCACCAAGGCAACGAUGCGUAGCCGACCUGAGAGGGUGAUCGGCCACACUGGGACUGAGACACGGCCCAGACUCCUACGGGAGGCAGCAGUAGGGAAUCUUCCGCAAUGGACGAAAGUCUGACGGAGCAACGCCGCGUGAGUGAUGAAGGUUUUCGGAUCGUAAAGCUCUGUUGUUAGGGAAGAACAAGUGCCGUUCGAAUAGGGCGGCACCUUGACGGUACCUAACCAGAAAGCCACGGCUAACUACGUGCCAGCAGCCGCGGUAAUACGUAGGUGGCAAGCGUUGUCCGGAAUUAUUGGGCGUAAAGCGCGCGCAGGCGGUCUCUUAAGUCUGAUGUGAAAGCCCACGGCUCAACCGUGGAGGGUCAUUGGAAACUGGGGGACUUGAGUACAGAAGAGGAAAGUGGAAUUCCACGUGUAGCGGUGAAAUGCGUAGAUAUGUGGAGGAACACCAGUGGCGAAGGCGACUUUCUGGUCUGUAACUGACGCUGAGGCGCGAAAGCGUGGGG
rnacentral:rRNA from 1 species